rnacentral:rRNA from 1 species
AUUGAACGCUGGCGGCAGGCCUAACACAUGCAAGUCGAACGGUAACAGGAAACGGCUUGCUGUUUCGCUGACGAGUGGCGGACGGGUGAGUAAUGUCUGGGAAACUGCCUGAUGGAGGGGGAUAACUACUGGAAACGGUAGCUAAUACGGCAUAACGUCUCAAGCCCAAAGAGGGGGACCUUCGGGCCUCUUGCCUUCGGCUGUGCCCAGAUGGGAUUAGCUAGUAGGUGGGGUAACGGCUUACCUAGGCGACGAUCCCUAGCUGGUCUGAGAGGAUGAACAGCCACACUGGAACUGAGACACGGUCCAGACUCCUACGGGAGGCAGCAGUGGGGAAUAUUGCACAAUGGGCGCAAGCCUGAUGCAGCCAUGCCGCGUGUAUGAAGAAGGCCUUCGGGUUGUAAAGUACUUUCAGCGGGGAGGAAGGGAGUAAAGUGAAUACCUUUGCUCAUUGACGUUACCCGCAGAAGAAGCACCGGCUAACUCCGUG